GUCGAGCGAGAUCUUCGGAUCUAGCGGCGGACGGGUUAGUAACGCGUGGGAACGUACCCAAAGGUAGGGAAUAGCCACUGGAAACGGUGAGUAAUACCCUAUGUGCCCUUCGGGGGAAAGAUUUAUCGCCUUUGGAUCGGCCCGCGUUAGAUUAGAUAGUUGGUGGGGUAACGGCCUACCAAGUCUACGAUCUAUAGCUGGUUUUAGAGGAUGAUCAGCAACACUGGGACUGAGACACGGCCCAGACUCCUACGGGAGGCAGCAGUGGGGAAUCUUGGACAAUGGGGGCAACCCUGAUCCAGCCAUGCCGCGUGAGUGAUGAAGGCCUUAGGGUCGUAAAGCUCUUUCGCCUGUGAAGAUAAUGACUGUAGCAGGUAAAGAAACCCCGGCUAACUCCGUGCCAGCAGCCGCGGUAAUACGGAGGGGGUUAGCGUUGUUCGGAAUUACUGGGCGUAAAGCGCGCGUAGGCGGACUGGAAAGUUGGGGGUGAAAUCCCAGGGCUCAACCCUGGAACUGCCUCCAAAACUAUCAGUCUAGAGUUCGAGAGAGGUGAGUGGAAUUCCGAGUGUAGAGGUGAAAUUCGUAGAUAUUCGGAGGAACACCAGUGGCGAAGGCGGCUC
rnacentral:rRNA from 1 species